rnacentral:lncRNA from 1 species
UUUAUGGUUGGGUUAAGGGUUAGUUUUUAUGGUUUAAAGUUUAGGAUUUAGUUUUUGUGGUUUAGGGUUUAAUUUUUAUGGUUUAGGGUUUAGGUUUUAGGGUUUAGGGUUAGGGUUAAGGUUUUAAGGUUUAUGGUUUAAGGUUUAUGAUUUGAGUCUAAGGUUAUGGUUUAGGGUUUGAGUUUAUGGUUAGGGUUCAAGGCUAAGGUUAGGGUCACGGUCAAGGUUAAGGUUUAGAGUUAGUGUUUAUGGUUAUGAUUUAGGGUUAGGGUUAGAAUUUGUGUUUAU